rnacentral:rRNA from 1 species
AUUGAACGCUGGCGGCAUGCCUUACACAUGCAAGUCGAACGGCAGCACGGGAGCAAUCCUGGUGGCGAGUGGCGAACGGGUGAGUAAUGUAUCGGAACGUGCCCAGUCGUGGGGGAUAACGCAGCGAAAGCUGUGCUAAUACCGCAUACGAUCUAUGGAUGAAAGCGGGGGAUCGCAAGACCUCGCGCGAUUGGAGCGGCCGAUAUCAGAUUAGCUAGUUGGUGGGGUAAAAGCUUACCAAGGCGACGAUCUGUAGCUGGUCUGAGAGGACGACCAGCCACACUGGAACUGAGACACGGUCCAGACUCCUACGGGAGGCAGCAGUGGGGAAUUUUGGACAAUGGGCGCAAGCCUGAUCCAGCAAUGCCGCGUGCAGGAUGAAGGCCUUCGGGUUGUAAACUGCUUUUGUACGGAGCGAAAAGGCUUUCUCUAAUACAGGGGGCUCAUGACGGUACCGUAAGAAUAAGCACCGGCUAACUACGUGCCAGCCGCCGCAGUAA